rnacentral:misc_RNA from 1 species
GAUGAAGAACGUAGCGAAAUGCGAUAAGUAAUGUGACUUGCAGAAUUCAGUGAAUCAUCGAAUCUUUGAACGCACCUUGCGCCCUUUGGCCAUUCCGAAGGGCAUGCCUGUUUGAGUAUCAUGAACACCUCAACUCUUCAUGGUUUUCCGUGAUGAGCUUGGACUUUGGGGGUCUUGCUGGCCUAUGGUCAGCUCCUCUAAAAUAAAUCAGCUUGCCAGUGUUUGGUGGGUAUCACAGGUGUGAUAACUAUCUACGCUUGUGGUUUUCCACCAGGUAACCUUCAGCAGUGGAGGUUCGCUGGAGCUCACAGAUGUGUCUCUCCUCAGUGAGGACAGCUCUUUGAAUGUUUGAUCUCAAAUCAGGUAGGACUACCCGCUGAACUUAAGCAUAUCAAUAAGCGGAGGA